CCUGGCUCAGAGGGUAAAGCAUCUGCCUACAAUGCAGGCGACCUGGGUUCAAUCCCUGGG
rfam:Ovis aries breed Texel chromosome 17, whole genome shotgun sequence.